CACAACUUGACGUAUCAAAAAAGUUUCCAAAAGAAUUGUUAUUAUAUAAUAUUUAGGAAUAACAGUAGAACCUCGCUUAAAAUAAACUAACUAAAGGACGUUGUCGUGAAUGAUGUAACAACAGCUAGACAAACCAUUCACGCGCCGUGGCCAAAAAUUGUCACUACUGUACGCUGAGAAAAUAUCGUCAAAUUUUUCAUGGAAUAUCAUCCCAAUAUCGUUAAAAGAAAAAGUUUUCCGGCAAAAAGACAUGCUUUUACACCCAAGAACGCUUGCAGAUUAGGCAAAUUAAUUUACUUUAGGAUUUGGUAAUUCUUGGGAAAGUUAAAUAUAAAAUAUAAUAUUUUGAAAAAUUCUUAGUAAAAUUUCGUAUAAAAUCAAGUUAUUUAGUAUAUUUCAAAAAAAUUUUAAGAAAAAAAUGUCCUUCACCUAAGUGACGAAAAACGUUAACAACUAUGUGCCAAGGAGUGAACUUAUUGUGGUGGUGAAGGUAGUGUAGCCUGCAACACCCAAAAGAUCAGGCUUCAAUGAUAAAUAUGUUUUAACAGUUUCUAUAGACACAACCACUGUUGAUAAUGAAAAUUAAUAUUUUUCACAAUAUACUUUAGUUUUAUUGUAUUAUUAAACAGUUCCAUUUGGCAAUUUCUAUUAUCUCACCAAUAGUGGCAUAUAGCCUGUUUGGUAGAGCUCAGUAAUCUAUUUUUAAAAAUAUAUUGUUUUCACAGUGA